CUGAGAGAAAACUGGUCCACUGAGCCAGUCCUUUCCUAGCUUUAGAAGCCUGCCCACAGCAGACAAGAUGCAGAACUUCAGGCAGCUGCAGGCAGCCAGAGUGUGCCAGGAUCCAAAACCACAUCUAAUUCUAAGCCCUUCAAGCACCAGACAUGAAAGAAGCUCCCUGUGAAGAAUACAUUUAAGCGUACCCAAGUGUGUUGACACAUGCCUGCAAUCCCAACACUCAGAGAUGGAGACAGGAGGACUACACACCUGAGGCUACCAUUGUCUCUGAAAGUCCACGGAGCCCUAUCCUCAUCAGGAACAGCAAGACCAUUGCACAUGGCACCAUUCACCUGGCUCAAGUACCAAAGCUAAAAUAAAAGCAGAAGAUACAUAUGACCACCCAUACAACACACACACACACACCUAUUUCCCUCUGCUGUGUUAGAGCAGGCUAGCAGUUCACAGAAGCAGAGGGAAGAGGUUUACAUGGCUCUUGUGUCAAGUCAGCAGAACUAGUGGAGCUACAUACAGCUCACAGAGAUUUACAAUGAGGUUCCAGUAUUGAUAGAGUAGAAGCCAGAGAACUCAAACCAGACCAACAAGUCACUGCGAUGAACAUUUACAAGCAAAGAAGUGUGGAUAAAGGGUACACUGGAGGGCACAGUGUGAUACACUAAAGCUUCCAAAAUGAGAUUUUUUUUUCUCUG